GGAACCGGCUGCAACAUGCAAAGGUUCAAACUUGUUAUUAGUGAUAUUAAAAUCCCAAUUUAAACUAUAAGAUGUACAAAAUUGCUUCUAAUGGAAGCUAACAAAAAUAGAUAUCAAAUGUAAUCUUGGAAGUGAAAACAAAACAUAUAUUACUGAGAGAAGUUGGCUGGAUGUGGAGACAGAAAAUAAAAUAGCACAAGAGGCAAAGAUA
rnacentral:misc_RNA from 1 species